CAGUUAGCCAUUGUUUGCUUAACUGAAUGUGUUUCUGAAGAAAUUUUGAAAAGGUUGUCAAUAGUAAAGCCAUGUUACAAGCCUCAAGGACACUGAAGUCAUUAAGGCCCCUGAAAAUGACUAUAACA
rnacentral:snoRNA from 1 species